rnacentral:lncRNA from 1 species
AGUCAAAGAGUACGUUCUCUUUGAGAAGAGCAACUUCUUAGUCUCACUAGAGUUGUCCUUUUGAUUGAAGUUCAUCAUCAUAUGAGAAACUUCCUAUCAUCUUUUGUCUAUAUUUAGGGCUUGAUAUAAUCCAAUUAUAUCCUAAAAUCUAUCAAUAUAGAUUUCCAUCCCAUGUAUAUAGAUUAUGUCUCCCAUAUACAUUCUAUCUUCAUAUAAUGUUUUAAAGUCAUAACUUUAACGAAGAAGUAUUCUUUUCAUUUCCAAAAUCAAUAUAUCAUAUAUUUGUAUAUAUAUAUAUAUAUUCAAAUUUAGGAACAUGAUUAACUCCCACUAAUCUUUUGUAAACCUAGUAAACAAAAGAUUCAUUUACAUCUUUAUGAGAAAUCAAACGUUUUGAUCUUUCUCAUAAGAUGCUUAUAGCUCCCACUAGCUUGCUUAGAUUCAUGAUGGAUGGAUCUCUACAACUUACAUGUCUUGUGAUUCAUAGUUUUAGACAUAUAUUAUCAAGACUAUCUUAAUAAUGGUUUCGGAAACCCAUAUUAUGUCCAAACAUUGAAUCACCAUUUAGUUGUAGUUAGCAAUCUUCGAAUUAAUUGAAACCAAGACUAUCUCAAAGAUGGUUUCUUCAAAGUCAACCAUUCUCUUUGAUUGUAGUCACCUUUAGCUACCAAUUAGCUUAUGAAGGUUUCAUUAUUUCGGGUCAAAUGGUACUUUACCAUUUCCUUGAGUAUAUAUCAUAUAUACACUCAAUGUAGUCAUAAGGAUUUUCAUUCUUAUUUCUUUCGAAUUAAGAGGUGCAACUCUAUGACAUAGUCAUAAAGUUCAAACCAUUCAACUGAGACGGUUUAUAAAUCCUUCUCGACUACCUUGGAGCUUUUGGUAUAGGAACUAGGUUGUUAUAUUUGUUGAUUAUUAUCUUGUCUCUCAAAGAACCCAUUCUUUGAGUUCUAUCUCUCAUUCAUUUGCUCUUAGGCAAAUCAUAUUGUAAGAUUACAAUGAACUACCCAACAAAACAACAUUUGUUAGUUGGUUUAUAGAAGCGAUAUCCAAAAGCUAAUUUAAGGAUAUCCUACAAGAUUGUUAUCAAACAAAUAUUGCUUAUUAGCAAACAACCCCAAAUCUUUAACAUGCUUGAGAUUUGUCUUUCUUUCCAACUACAUCUUAUGGAGUCAUGAAAAUUUUGGAAAGAUCUUCUAAUUUACAAUCAUAUUGUCUUAGAAGCAUAUAUCCUAUAUAUGGGUAAUUGAUAACAUCCAACGAACUAAAUCUUAUU